GACGAACGCUGGCGGCGUGCUUAACACAUGCAAGUCGAACGGAAAGGCCCUGCUUUUGUGGGGUGCUCGAGUGGCGAACGGGUGAGUAACACGUGAGUAACCUGCCCUUGACUUUGGGAUAACUUCAGGAAACUGGGGCUAAUACCGGAUAGGAGCUCCUGCUGCAUGGUGGGGGUUGGAAAGUUUCGGCGGUUGGGGAUGGACUCGCGGCUUAUCAGCUUGUUGGUGGGGUAGUGGCUUACCAAGGCUUUGACGGGUAGCCGGCCUGAGAGGGUGACCGGCCACAUUGGGACUGAGAUACGGCCCAGACUCCUACGGGAGGCAGCAGUGGGGAAUAUUGCACAAUGGGCGGAGGCCUGAUGCAGCAACGCCGCGUGCGGGAUGACGGCCGUCGGGUUGUAAACCGCUUUCGCCUGUGACGAAGCGUGAGUGACGGUAAUGGGUAAAGAAGCACCGGCUAACUACGUG
rnacentral:rRNA from 1 species